rnacentral:rRNA from 1 species
UACAGAGGGUGCAAGCGUUGUUCGGAAUUAUUGGGCGUAAAGCGCGUGUAGGCGGCUUUGCAAGUCGGGCGUGAAAUCCCACGGCUCAACCGUGGAAGUGCACUCGAAACUGCAUAGCUAGAGUCCUGGAGAGGAAGGUGGAAUGCUUGGUGUAGAGGUGAAAUUCGUAGAUAUCAAGCGGAACACCGGUGGCGAAGGCGGCCUUCUGGACAGUGACGUGACGCUGAGACACGAAAAGCGUGGGGAGCAAACAGGG